rnacentral:lncRNA from 1 species
GAACAAUCUCAUAGCCUACGUUAAAAAAUGGACGAAAUUGGUAGCAUGUCACAUUUGUUCGUCCAUUAAAGACGCUAACUCUAUCCCACUUUUUUUGUUGGAUGACCUCUCUGCAGGGUAUGUCAAGAUGAGCUUCGAUGAGGCCAGGGCUGGCUUAAGGGUAAGGCCACCAAAGCAAAGGCUUUAGGACCCCAGACCCCUGCCAUCCAUUUCCACCGCGACCAACUGUCCACCCACGAGAAGAUGAAAGGCAUCAGAGACAAAGAUGGUGAGACGGAAGAUAGGAGCGACGAGAUGGGAGACGGCA